CAAUAUUAGAGUUUGAUCCUAGCUCAGGAUGAACGCUGGCGGCGUGGAUAAGGCAUGCAAGUCAAGGGGGCCGCAAGGCAACCGGCAGACGAGGUAGUAAUAAGCAGGUACGUACCCUAGAGUCAGGCAUAGCUCAUCGAAAGGUGAUGUAAUUCACGAUAGCACGAAUACAUUAUUUUGGUUUCACAACUGUGAGUCCAGAAUAAUGUAUUUGGUAAAGUCGCAAGACGCUCUUUGAACGGCCUGCUCGGUAUCAGCUA
rnacentral:rRNA from 1 species